UCAACACUUGUCCAGUUCUCCGUGCUCUGAUUUUGCUCAAUAAAUAUAUUUUCUCUAUCUGUCUCUGUUUCUCUCUCACUUUAACCUUCACCUUCCAUAAGCUUCUCUCAGCUUCUUCUCAUUUCAGUGCUUCGGGCGAAGAAAAAUGGCUAGACGGUCUAGUCGCACAAUUUAUGUUGGCAAUCUUCCUGGCGAUGUUCGCUUGAGGGAAGUAGAGGAUCUUUUCUACAAGUUUGGUCCUAUUGUUGACAUUGAUCUGAAGAUUCCUCCGAGACCACCAGGUUAUGCCUUUGUGGAGUUUGAGGAUAUCCGUGAUGCUGAAGAUGCCAUUUACUAUAGAGAUGGUUACAACUUUGAUGGUUUUCGGUUACGGGUUGAACUUGCACACGGUGGACGGGGUCAUACAUCAUCAGUAGACCGCUAUAGUAGCUAUAGUGGUAGUAGCAGUAGCCGUGGAGUUUCCAGGCGUUCCGAUUAUCGUGUUCUUGUAACAGGAUUACCCCCUUCUGCUUCAUGGCAAGACCUGAAAGAUCAUAUGCGAAGAGCUGGUGAUGUGUGUUUUUCUCAAGUCUUCCGUGAGCGUGGUGGUAUGACUGGGAUAGUGGAUUAUACAAAUUAUGAUGACAUGAAAUAUGCUAUAAGGAAGCUUGAUGACUCGGAAUUCAGAAAUGCCUUUUCUCGGUCAUACAUACGGGUCAGAGAAUAUGAUCGCCGGAGUUAUUCUAGAAGCCCCAGUCGUGAUUCAAGGAGGAGCUAUUCGAGAAGCCUCAGCCGCAGUCCAUAUGUGUCGCGAAGUCGAAGCUAUAGUCAAAGCCCUAGCUAUAGUGACAGGAGCAGAAGUUGGUCUCCAAAACCAAAGCAUUCUCGGCGUUCGUUAUCUCGCUCAAGCGAAUUGCUGUGCCCUAGAAGUAUCAGCAAUUAAGCAUAAUUCCUCAUACGUGGAAAGGUGGAUGGGGCAUUGGUAAAGUGGAUUGUCAGCUUUUGCCAAUAAUUUACUCAAUGUUCAUUAGGCUUGGCUCUUGUUUUCUAGAUGUGGCCUUUUCUGGUGACCUGGGAACUUCGUGUUAGGACCUGAGGGUAUGUGGUGCUCAAAACGCCUGCAACUUUUGGUCCAAGGUAAUAUUGUUUAAUUGAUGAGCACCUGUGGAACACCUUAAUGCUGCGACUAACGGUAACAGUAAUGGUAUAUUGAUUUAAGGCACAGUCUGCAAUUGUUGGCUGGAUGCCUAUAGAUGGAUGAGUUGCAAUCUAAAAGGUGGAUUACCAUGAACUAAGUGCUAUUGUUACCGACCAUUUCAAACCAGCAGAGUUACAAUUCGAAAAUUACAACAUAGUCUCUGGUUUAAGUUCUGGGGUCAGCCAUAUUCGUCUGCUAGGAUUCCUUUUAUUGUCCUGUGUUGGGUUUGUUUUGGUUAAAAUGUUGGGUAUAAUUGGUUGAAGGUGUCGUGCUGCUGACAAUAGAUUGUUUGGCAAUUGUUGAGACUAUAGACGUGCGAUGAAUUGGGUUCUUAUUCACUUGGAUCCCGUGCAAGAUUUGUGGUAGAUUGAUUUCUUCCUUGUGGUUUGGUAACCUUGAUGUGGAAUAUUGCUCUCGUGGAUGGAACUCCUUCUGUGGAUCAUUCUGCAUACUGAUUUGAGUUUUGUUCAUUCUAAAAUUUUGCAGAUCUGUCUCAAGAUCCAGAUCUCCUUAUUCAUCUCCUCGACCUUACAGUCGUAGCCAAAGUCCAAGGAGCAUGUAAUAGUCUCACCCGACCCCAGUGAGAUCUGAUGAAUGCAGCCAUUCUGUUGAGUUUGCUUUGGAGACUUGCCAUUGACUCUGUAUUUUCUAUACUACAAUUUUAAUUUGACAAGUGAGACCUAGGAUACAUACCAUUGUAGCUCUAUCUUAUUAUGUACUUGAAUUUUAAAGUUGUCAUGAGGAGUUUAUAUUUGGUAGAUUAUAGCAAAUUGAUAUGAAAUAUUAAACUAUGGAUGGGGCAUGUAUGUUACAUUCUGUCCAGCGACACCGAUAUUGGAUGUGGUUAGUUAUUGCCUAUUGAUGGUGUUCGUGCUUGAUUUUCUC